rnacentral:rRNA from 1 species
AACGUAGGAGACAAACGUUAUCCGGAGUUACUGGGCGUAAAGGGCGUGUAGGUGGUUUCGUAAGUCUGGCGUGAAAUAUCUCGGCUUAACCGAGGCAGGUCGUCGGAUACUGUCGGGCUAGAGUCCGGAAGAGGCGAGUGGAAUUCCCGGUGUAGCGGUGAAAUGCGCAGAUAUCGGGAGGAACACCGGUGGCGAAGGCGGCGACCUGGGUAGAUACUGACGCUGAGGUGCGAAAGCGUGGGGGAGCAAACAGGG